rnacentral:rRNA from 1 species
CAGAGGGUGCGAGCGUUAAUCGGAAUUACUGGGCGUAAAGCGUGCGUAGACGGCUAUCUAAGUCGGGUGUGAAAGCCCCGGGCUCAACCUGGGAAUUGCAUUCGAGACUGAAUAGCUAGGGUACGGUAGAGGGAAGUGGAAUUUCCGGUGUAGCGGUGAAAUGCGUAGAUAUCGGAAGGAACAUCAGUGGCGAAAGCGACUUCCUGGACCAGUACCGACGUUCAGGCACGAAAGCGUGGGGAGCAAACAGGAUUAGAUACCCUGGUAGUCCACGCCAUAAACGAUGAGGACUAGACGUUGGAGGGGUAAGCCUUUCAGUGUCGUAGCUAACGCGCUAAGUCCUCCGCCUGGGGAGUACGGUCGCAAGACUA